CAAGCGAAAGCGUUAAGCAUCCCACCUGGGGAGUACGCGGCAACGGUGAAACUCAAAGGAAUAGACGGGGCCGCACAAGCGGAGCAACAUGUGGCCUUUACAUUCCGAUGAUACGAGAGGAACCAUACCCGGGCUUGAACUGCAGCAGACGGAUCUAGAGAUAGUGACUCCCUUUGGGGCUGCUGUGGAGGUGCUGCAUGGUUGUCGUCAGCUCGUGCCGUGAGGUGUCGGCUUAAGUGCCAUAACGAGCGCAACCCUUUUCAUUAGUUGCCAUCAGGUAAUGCUGGGCACUCUGGUGAUACUGCCACCGUAAGGUGUGAGGAAGGUGGGGAUGACGUCAAAUCAGCACGGCCCUUACGUCCGGGGCUACACACGUGUUACAAUGGGUGGUACAGAGAGUCGGGUGUAUGCAAAUACAUUCUAAUCAAGAAAGCCAUCCCUCAGUUCGGAUUGGGGUCUGCAACCCGACCCCAUGAAGCUGGAUUCGCUAGUAAUCGCGCAUCAGCCAUGGCGCGGUGAAUACGUUCCCGGCGCCUUGUACACACCGCCCUAAUCUGAAUUCGCUCGCACAUAU
rnacentral:rRNA from 1 species